GCUUCCCUGAAGCUCGAGACAUCCGUUCAUGUUCCUGAAGAGCUUCUUCCACCCUCUGAACUGUUGCUCUAGCACUCUCAAUUUCUGCACGAGCAAAAGCUCUGUCCUCAUCAACAAGUUUCUUGGCAUCUUCUGAAGCCUGCUUAAGAAAAUUAGCUAGCUUCUUCACUUCUGCUUUUUCUUGAAUCAACUCUCCUUCC
rnacentral:misc_RNA from 1 species